rnacentral:rRNA from 1 species
GAGUUUGAUCCUGGCUCAGGAUGAACGCUAGCGGCAGGCCUAACACAUGCAAGUCGAACGGUAACAGCACUUCGGUGGCUGACGAGUGGCGCACGGGUGAGUAACGCGUAUGCAACCUACCUUUCACAGUGGGAUAGCCCAGAGAAAUUUGGAUUAAUACCGCAUAGUAUGCAAGAUCAGCAUUGGCCUUGUAUUAAACAUUUAUGGGUGAGAGAUGGGCAUGCGUUCUAUUAGUUAGUUGGAGUGGUAACGGCACCCCAAGACAGCGAUAGAUAGGGGCCCUGAGAGGGGGAUCCCCCACACUGGUACUGAGACACGGACCAGACUCCUACGGGAGGCAGCAGUGAGGAAUAUUGGACAAUGGGCGCAAGCCUGAUCCAGCCAUGCCGCGUGCACGAAGACGGCCCUAUGGGUUGUAAACUGCUUUUAUACAGGAAGAAACACCCCGACGUGUCGGGACUUGACGGUACUGUAAGAAUACGGAUCGGCUAACUCCGUGCCAGCAGCCGCGGUAAUACGGAGGAUCCCAGCGUUAUCCGGAAUCAUUGGGUUUAAAGGGUCCGUAGGUGGACAUUUAAGUCAGAGGUGAAAUCCUGCAGCUCAACUGUAGAAUUGCCUUUGAAACUGGUUGUC